rnacentral:lncRNA from 1 species
AGAGCACGUUGCAGAGCUUGAAAGCUUGAAUGCUUGGAGUGGAAUGGUUGUUCUCUGCCUUGCUACAGUCUUCUGUGGCUAUUUAAGCCAACCCCCACGGAAACUAGCCGUUACACUGCUUUUUCUGCCCGUUCUGCACACUCUGCGCAGCCUGACAAUAUGACCGUUGGUGGGUUGGAGUCGACUCGCGCGAUCAGGAGUCGACUCGGCUGUAGCGGGAGUCGACUCAAGCUUUUCCGGAGUCGACUCGGCAACUGUUCCAAAUUUGAAUUAAAGUUGCCGUCACGAC